rnacentral:lncRNA from 1 species
AACUUUGCAAAGUCAUGGUUGUUUUGGGAUGAGUUCGAUUUUGAGAAAUAAGAAGGAUUUAUAUUUUGGACCAUGUUGUAAUAUUUGUAUUGGAACCCCAAUUAAAAAUUUGUAGAUUUGUGAUCAUAAUUGGUUCAAAUGUGUGUUGUAAGUUUGAAUUAGAUCUAAUAGUUAAUUUCAAGAUUAUUGAAACUCAAGUGGGUUGAGGUCUCAAAAAUUGGAGUUUGAAGGACCAAAGAGGGUUUCCAAGAUAUGCAACAAUUUGAUAAUUGGAUUGUAAUAAAAUUUUUGAUCAUUAGUAGCAAACUUCAUUUUCUAUAAAUUUGCAAAUAGUGAAAGCAAUUAAAUAAUAAAAUCAAGAAAUGUUGGUGGUGGGAGAUUAGUAUUAAGAUUAGUGAAUGAGGUUGACUAACAUCCAAGUAGAUUAUGAGGAUUAUCUCCUACUAAAUAUAUUUGAUCUUCUU